CGAUGGCAGAUGAUCGCUGGUGAACCCCCAAAACCUUUCGGGGUUCACUGGAGGAAAGUCCGAACACCAUACGGCAGCAUGCCGCGUAGAAUGCGCGGGCAACAUUCGCGAAAGCGGGCGUUGACGGAGAGUGUCACAGAAAAGACACCGCCGGUUCUUUGAGAAAAGCACGGGCAAGGGUGAAAAGGCGAGGUAAGAGCUCACCGCUCGCGGAGUAAUUCGCGAGGCACGAAAAACCCCAUGCGGUGCAAGACAAAACAGAGGAAGGGCAGCCGGCCCGAUUUAAUCCUCGGGUAUCGUCGCACCACGUCCCGCAAUGGCGGGAUGGGCACUCGUCUCGCGAUUGCGGGGCGGGUGAGAUGAAUGAUCAUCCACGACAGAAUUCGGCUUAUCGCCAUCGAAAC
rnacentral:RNase_P_RNA from 1 species